CGCGCCAGUCAAUUGCUUAUGUAAUGUGCUCUUGACGAUUCAAGUGUUGUCUUUGUCACCGUAAACAAUUAGGUUUCUCACGCUUCCCGCCUCAUCAAAAGGUGCUAACCCAUUAAAUACUGGACAGGACAACGAUAUUUUUGAGAAGACAAAUAGCCUGUGGUUCCAACCGAAUAAACCGUGUUACCGUCUGGAUAAAAUACAGGUAGGUCUAGGCUGGACUAUGUUUACGGUUUUUGCGCAUCGGUUGUUGUUUUUUUGCUACCUGAAUGAGUUUGGUCUCAGAAUUGUCCGACGACUCUUUUCAUGUGGAUGCCCUCAGUGCCCCGACAGGAGGAAUAUGCGGAGCCGGCUUUUUCAACACAGUCCUUGAAACCUAAUGUGCCACCAAGAAGACUAAAACCCCAUCCCUGUCCCUCAGGGUCCAAACCUUGCCCUCCCUAGACUACGGAGGUCCCAACGGGUUGUCAACCUAAAUUCAGGGUCAGUCUCUCAUUCCCCCAGGACGAAGACGCGCAGCACCUUCCGCUGGACUGGUGUUGGUAAACGAGACCAGACCUACUGAGAAGACACCCCGGUAUAAGCGAAGGAGACGGAACAGGACCAGGGGUAGACCUACAGCACAUUCAAGGCAAGGACAGACAGUCCAGCUCACCUGCCGCUCCUGAGGCUCCACAGUCAGAGUCAGUGGACACGAAUGGACAUUAACCUACUUUGAGUAACGACCCAGCUCCAGGCCAACACUGAGCUGCAGCUAGCCUGGCAUAUCCAACACCUUAUUCUGUCAGUGGACAGCAGAACAACACCUUGAGCGAACUCCCAGUAAUCAGGACUGAAAUGGUGGAGAUAUCUCCAUUUAAAGCAAUUUAAAUGUUUGCUUGUUAGCAAUACUUUACUCUACACUACACGAUUAAUCAUAUCAAGUAUUCCAUAAAAUCCGAUUUUGUGUAUUAGUGCAAUGGGUCGUGUGUGUGUGUGGGGUGGGGUGAAAAACAUUUCUGGGGACUCUAAUUUUUCCUGAUCUGGUAUGAAACCAGGUAAAACUCCGGACCUAAUUUGGUAUGACACGAUUAAUCUGUUGUAAAAAAAAAAUCAAAUAAAAGGUUUAAUAUAA